GUGCUUCUUUUGGCAGCACUUAUACUAAAAUUGAAAAGAUACAGAGAUUAGCAUGGCCCCUGCGCAAGGAUGACACUCAAAUUCCUGAAGUAUUCCAUUAAAAA
ensembl:snRNA U6 U6 spliceosomal RNA